UGGGGAAUCUUGCACAAUGGGGGAAACCCUGAUGCAGCGACGCCGCGUGAGCGAUGAAGGUUUUCGAAUCGUAAAGCUCUGUCCUAUGGGAAGAUAAUGACGGUACCAUAGGAGGAAGCCCCGGCUAACUACGUGCCAGCAGCCGCGGUAAUACGUAGGGGGCGAGCGUUGUCCGGAAUUACUGGGCGUAAAGGGUUCGCAGGCGGCAUGACAAGUCCGAUGUAAAAGGCGAAAGCUCAACUUUCGUAAGCAUCGGAAACUGUCAAGCUUGAGUGCAGGAGAGGCAAGUGGAAUUCCUAGUGUAGCGGUGGAAUGCGUAGAUAUUAGGAGGAAUACCGGUGGCGAAGGCGACUUGCUGGACUUCAACUGACGCUGAGGAACGAAAGCGUGGGUAGCAAACAGG
rnacentral:rRNA from 1 species